rnacentral:rRNA from 1 species
CACGUAGGGUGCGAGCGUUGUCCGGAAUUAUUGGGCGUAAAGAGCUCGUAGGCGGUGUGUCGCGUCGGCCGUGAAAACCUGCAGCUUAACUGUGGGCUUGCGGUCGAUACGGGCAUCACUGGAGUUCGGCAGGGGAGACUGGAAUUCCUGGUGUAGCGGUGAAAUGCGCAGAUAUCAGGAGGAACACCGGUGGCGAAGGCGGUGCUCUGGGCUGGAACUGACGCUGAUGGACGAAAGCGUGGGUAGCAAACAGG